rnacentral:piRNA from 1 species
UGAGGUCAAUCUGUCUCUUAGCCA